GAAAUGCGAGAAGUAGUGUGAAUUGCAGAAUUCAGUGAAUCAUCGAAUCUUUGAACGCACAUUGCGCCCUUUGGUAUUCCUUAGGGCAUGCCUGUUCGAGCGUCAUCUAAACCUUCAAGCCCUGCUUGGUGUUGGGUGCCUGUCCCGCCUCCGCGCGCGGACUCACCUCAAAUCCAUUGGCGGCCCCCGCGUCGGCCACGAGCGCAGCAGAAACGCGAACUCGUGAGCCCGUCCGGGCGGCUCCCAGAAGCUACACCCACCCAGUUUGACCUCGGAUCAGGUAGGGAUACCCGCUGAACUUAAGC
rnacentral:misc_RNA from 1 species